CUACGGGAUGCAGCAGUGAGGAAUAUUGCACAAUGGAGGAAACUCUGAUGCAGCAACGCCGCGUGGAGGAUGACGCAUUUCGGUGUGUAAACUCCUUUUAUGAGUCAAGAAAAUGACGGUAGCUCAUGAAUAAGCACCGGCUAACUCCGUGCCAGCAGCCGCGGUAAUACGUAGGGUGCAAGCGUUACUCGGAAUCACUGGGCGUAAAGGACGCGUAGGCGGGAUAUCAAGUCAGGUGUGAAAUCCUACAGCUUAACUGUAGAACUGCACUUGAAACUGGUAACCUAGAGUAUGGGAGGGGGAGAUGGAAUUAGUGGUGUAGGGGUAAAAUCCGUAGAUAUCACUAGGAAUACCUAAAGCGAAGGCGAUCUCCUGGAACAUAACUGACGCUAAGGCGUGAGAGCGUGGGGAGCAAACAGGAUUAGAUACCCGAGUAGUC
rnacentral:rRNA from 1 species